CAAUCAAGGUGUAGAAACAACGAUCAUGAGAAAUGGGAGGCACCUGAACUCAUGUUCAACAGUCUGAUCACUUCACACACUUUCCUUUCAUUUAUCUUCUACAUUCUGCAACUUUGUUGCUCAAUUACAAUUCUGCAUUUCGUUCAAUUUUAUACUUUUAUUCACUGCAUGAUUCAUUCAUAUAUGUAUAUCCAGUCUUCCAUAUGUGUGAAAUGUGACAUCUUUUUUGGGGUUAAAACGUUUUAUCUCCGUGUUUUAAAUCUAAUUGAAGGAACAAGAAACCUUCUCGACCCCAUGCACAGAUGCAGGAAGACACGGAGCUGCAGCCGUGGAAGAAGUCCAACACACAAACUGAGUGUGAGGUUUACGAGAGUCCGUCUCUGGCGGAGGAGACUAUCCAUUAUGCCUCUCUGGGCCGCCAGAACUGGAGGGAGAGACCCAGCAGGACUCCACCGGACCAGAGCGACCACAACGUCAUCUACUCUUCUGUCAUCACCGGACCGGCUGCCAAACAGAAACGACCUCUGCUGCAUCCUGCCCUCUAACAUAUCUAGGGCAACGAAAUGUUAUAUAUGA
rnacentral:lncRNA from 1 species